CUCUCCCUGCGAAUGGCAGACGUUAACGACCUGGUGUGCCGUAUACCUGAUGGCCACCCGCUGCUGGGUGUGCAUGUGCUGCAGAUAGCUUGCUGCCUCUUCGUGGAGCUGCACGCAGCAGAGGCUGAGAGAGCACUUAUUGAAGAUUAA
rnacentral:lncRNA from 1 species